AGCGAAUAGAUACCCGGGUAGUCCACGCCGCAAACUAUGGAUGCUAGCAGUUUGAAGUAUCGACCCUUCAUGUUGCGAAGCUAACGCGUUAAGCAUCCCGCCUGUGGAGUACGGCCGCAAGGCUAAAACAUAAAGGAAUUGACGGGGACCCGCACAAGCGGUGGAGCGUGUUGUUUAAUUCGACGAUAAGCGAAGAACCUUACCAAGGCUUGACAUCCUGCUAAGGUCUCCGAAAGGAGACUGUGCCUUCGGGCCGCAGUGACAGGUGAUGCAUGGCCGUCGUCAGCUCGUGUCGUGAGAUGUUUGGUUAAGUCCAUCAACGAGCGCAACCCUUAUAGUCAGUUGGAUAUUUCUGGCUAGACUGCCCCGGUAACGGGGAGGAAGGAGGGGAUGAUGUCAGGUCAUUAUUUCCCUUACGCCUUGGGCCACAAACACGCUACAAUGGCCGGUACAGAGGGCAGCCAACCCGCGAGGGGGAGCAAAUCCCAUCAAAGCCGGUCUCAGUUCGGAUUGUAGGCUGAAACUCGCCUGC
rnacentral:rRNA from 1 species